GAUGAACGCUGGCGGCGUGCCUAAUACAUGCAAGUCGAGCGAACAGAUGAGGAGCUUGCUCCUCUGACGUUAGCGGCGGACGGGUGAGUAACACGUGGAUAACCUACCUAUAAGACUGGGAUAACUUCGGGAAACCGGAGCUAAUACCGGAUAAUAUAUUGAACCGCAUGGUUCAAUAGUGAAAGACGGUUUUGCUGUCACUUAUAGAUGGAUCCGCGCCGCAUUAGCUAGUUGGUAAGGUAACGGCUUACCAAGGCAACGAUGCGUAGCCGACCUGAGAGGGUGAUCGGCCACACUGGAACUGAGACACGGUCCAGACUCCUACGGGAGGCAGCAGUAGGGAAUCUUCCGCAAUGGGCGAAAGCCUGACGGAGCAACGCCGCGUGAGUGAUGAAGGUCUUCGGAUCGUAAAACUCUGUUAUUAGGGAAGAACAAAUGUGUAAGUAACUAAGCACGUCUUGACGGUACCUAAUCAGAAAGCCACGGCUAACUACGUG
rnacentral:rRNA from 1 species